rnacentral:lncRNA from 1 species
GGCCUUUCAGGUUUGGAUAUGACAAUGAAGGGUGGUCUAGUCUAGAAAGAUCAGCUCACCUUCUCAAUGAAACAGGUGCAGAUUUCAUAACAAUUUUGGAGAGUGAUGCUUCUAAGCCCUAUAUGGGGAACAAUGACUUAACCAUGUGGUUAGGGGAGAAGCUGGGUUUCUAUACAGACUUUGGUCCAAGCACCAGGUAUCACACUUGGGGGAUUAUGGCUUUGUCAAGAUACCCAAUUGUGAAAUCGGAGCAUCACCUUCUUCCGUCACCAGAGGGCGAGAUCGCACCAGCCAUCACAUUGACCGUUAACAUUUCGGGCAAGCCAGUGGAUUUUGUCGUGACACACUUUGGGAACCACGAAGAUGACCUCGACAGGAAACUGCAGGCUAUUGCUGUUUCAAAACUACUGAAAAGUAGCUCGAAUCAAGUGAUAUUUCUGGGAUAUAUCACUUCAGCACCUGGCUCCAGAGAUUAUCUACAGCUCACUGAACAUGGCAAUGUGAAGGAUAUCGACAGCACUGAUCAUGACAGAUGGUGUGAAUACAUUAUGUAUCGAGGACUGAUCAGGUGAGCACAGGGGUUUGAUUUUGUUUUUAAUCUAUUAUUGCUGCAAUCUUUUGGGUCUAUCUGAGAAGGAAGAACAACUUUAUGGAAGCAAUUAAUUUUUGUUGCUUUUUAUAAACAUUGAGAUGACUAUACAGUUUAACAUCUUUUUC